AUUGAACGCUGGCGGCAGGCCUAACACAUGCAAGUCGAACGGUAACAGGAAGAAGCUUGCUUCUUUGCUGACGAGUGGCGGACGGGUGAGUAAUGUCUGGGAAACUGCCUGAUGGAGGGGGAUAACUACUGGAAACGGUAGCUAAUACCGCAUAACGUCGCAAAACCAAAGAGGGGGACCUUCGGGCCUCUUGCCAUCGGAUGUGCCCAGAUGGGAUUAGCUAGUAGGUGGGGUAACGGCUCACCUAGGCGACGAUCCCUAGCUGGUCUGAGAGGAUGACCAGCCACACUGGAACUGAGACACGGUCCAGACUCCUACGGGAGGCAGCAGUGGGGAAUAUUGCACAAUGGGCGCAAGCCUGAUGCAGCCAUGCCGCGUGUAUGAAGAAGGCCUUCGGGUUGUAAAGUACUUUCAGCGGGGAGGAAGGGAGUAAAGUUAAUACCUUUGCUCAUUGACGUUACCCGCAGAAGAAGCACCGGCUAACUCCGUGCCAGCAGCCGCGGUAAUACGGAGGGUGCAAGCGUUAUUCGGAAUUUCUGGGCGUAAAGCGCACGCAGGCGGUUUGUUAAGUCAGAUGUGAAAUCCCCGGGUUCAACCUGGGAACGCAUUUUGAUACUGGGAAGCUUGAGUCUCUUUAGAAGGGGGGUAGAAAUCCAGGUUUCUCCGGGAAAAACAU
rnacentral:rRNA from 1 species